CAGUCGCCACGGUAAUACGUAGGGUGCGAGCGUUAAUCGGAAUUACUGGGCGUAAAGCGUGCGCAGGCGGUUCGUUAAGACAGAUGUGAAAUCCCCGGGCUUAACCUGGGAACUGCAUUUGUGACUGGCGAGCUAGAGUAUGGCAGAGGGGGGUAGAAUUCCACGUGUAGCAGUGAAAUGCGUAGAGAUGUGGAGGAAUACCGAUGGCGAAGGCAGCCCCCUGGGCCAAUACUGACGCUCAUGCACGAAAGCGUGGGGAGCAAACAGGAUUAGAUACCCGGGUAGUCCCUGUCUCUUAUAC
rnacentral:rRNA from 1 species